AUUGAACGCUGGCGGCAUGCCUUACACAUGCAAGUCGAACGGCAGCACGGGAGCAAUCCUGGUGGCGAGUGGCGAACGGGUGAGUAAAGUAUCGGAACGUGCCCAGUCGUGGGGGAGAACGUAGCGAAAGUUACGCUAAUACCGCAUACGAUCUAUGGAUGAAAGCGGGGGACCGCAAGACCUCGCGCGACUGGAGCGGCCGAGAUCGGAUGAGGUAGGUGGGGGGGUAAAGGCUCACCAAGCCGACGAUCUGUAGCUGGUCUGAGAGGACGACCAGCCACACUGGGACGGAGACACGGCCCAGACUCCUACGGGAGGCAGCAGUGGGGAAUUUUGGACAAUGGGCGAAAGCCUGAUCCAGCCAUGCCGCGUGCAGGAUGAAGGCCUUCGGGUUGUAAACUGCUUUUGUACGGAACGAAAAGGUUUGGCCUAAUAAGCUGAGCUCAUGACGGUACCGUAAGAAUAAGCACCGGCUAACUACGUGCCAGCCGCCGCCGUAACAC
rnacentral:rRNA from 1 species